CACCAACAUCCUCAAGUCAAGAGAUUCACCGUUGGGCUUAACUCUAAGUCCACUUGUUGUCCACCUUUCCACUCCAAUAUCGUCUUCCGGCACGACGGCGCAGCGGUCUUGAUCAGAGCAGCUUCUUCUCCUCUCUUGAGAGACGAAAUCGGACGGAAAACCUUGCUUAUCUGCCGGAAAAUUCAGCCACUUCCUCGUAACAACCCUCGGCCACGACGACUUAAAGAUCUUCCCUCGUUUCAUUCCCAUUGCUCUGUCGCCGUCAACCGCCGAGAACCG
rnacentral:misc_RNA from 1 species